rnacentral:lncRNA from 1 species
GCCCUCCCGCCGCUCCCGGCCGCUCGCCCGCCUCCUGCGGUAGCCGCUAGAGGCCUCCCGGUCCUGAUGGACUCCCGGUUUCCCUGGGGCCUGGCCCUCUCCGGCCAACCCCGUGUGACUGCACCGGCCCUCCCAAGUGUUGCUCCCUUUUCUCCCAGCUCCACCUCCCUAGUCCUGCCUCCUCCUUGUCCCAGGUAGGGUGAUCUAAUCCCCGAGCCUGCCUCCUUGUGCUCCAGAUGUUGAUCGCCCUCUAAAUCUCUGUGCGGGGCAUCUGCUACUUUUAACUCCAUAGAAAGGAGCCGGGAAGCACCUACCUGGAAGGAGAAGCCUGCAGUCCCCCUGGCGUCAGCUUUGGUCUGGGCUGGACCCAGACAGCCCUUGGCAAGAUGAAUACCAGCCCCAGGCCUUGGCAGUCUUUAGACUGCUCUUUUUCCUGCUCUUUAUGCAAAGGCUAGUCGCCCCAGAUUUGCAUUUCAGAGGUGAGAGGAACUGGACACCCAGCUUUAGUGAGACCACAAUCAGGCUUCCUCAUCCUCACCACCUACAUACGCUUGGCCCAUGCAGAGUUCAACUCAACCACGUGUAUGGGUGCAUCCCUGUGCCGGGCACGGUGCCAGGAGCAGACCGGCCUUGUUGCUGCUUUCAAGGAACUCACACACCAGUGUAAU